AGGAAGGUGGGGAUGACGUCAAGUCCUCAUGGCCCUUAUAGGUGGGGCUACACACGUCAUACAAUGGAUGGUACAAAGGGUUCGCCAACCCGCGAGGGGGAGCCAAUCCCAUAAAGCCAGUCGUAGUCCGGAUCGUAGUCUGCAACUCGACUACGUGAAGUCGGAAUCGCUAGUAAUCGUGGAUCAGAAUGUCACGGUGAAUACGUUCCCGGGUCUU
rnacentral:rRNA from 1 species